rnacentral:lncRNA from 1 species
GUUUUGACCACCACCAUUGUCCCUCUCAGGUGAAUAGUUAGUUUGGUAUUGCGCAGGAUCAGACCAUGAUGGCGCAGGUUGUCCUCCCAUUUGUGGCGGUGGUGGCCCUCUCAUAUUGUUGUUUGGAGGCAUCUGAUUGUAGUUGUUCGGAGGCCCCUGACUGUAGUUGUUUGGAGGCCCCUGAUUGUAGUUGUUUGGAGGCCCCUGAUUGUAGUUGUUUGGAGGCCCCUGAUUGUAGUUAUUAGGCGGCCCCUGAUUGUAGGUCGGCUGCCCUCCACCCCAGUUGUUGUUCGGCUGCUGCACAUUGUUGUAGUUUGGUGGUGCACUCAUGUUAGGAGGCAUUGGAGCUCCGUUCACAGGUGGAGGAGGCAUAUUACUG